rnacentral:miRNA from 1 species
UACAAAGCUGAAGCUAAUUAUG